GGGAGGUGGCGCGCAGGGUGGCACCUAAAAAACAACGCUCCUGCAGUGUCCCUAUAACGGCUCAACGAGGAGAAACAACUUGCCCAAGAUCUCCAAGGCAGGGUUUGGAGCCAGGUCUGGAGCCUGUAUUCUGAAGGAGCAGAAGCCCAGGGUGAGACCAGCCCAUUAAACCUACUUGGCCCAUAGAAGGAGAAGAAGGAAGGGGGCUGGGCAGAAGAAGAGGCAGGAGGGCAGCCGUCGGUGACGGUGCAAGGACAUCACUGGAGGCUGUUAAAAUGAGUCUGUGUGCUUGGGUCAGGCAAGGACGCAGCCAGCAUCAGCUGCUGCUGCUCUUAGCUUCCCUGCCCGUGUCCCUCGGCUGGCCCUGCUCCUCCCUCCAAAAAACAAGCAAGAAUUCUAACAGGGUGAAACCAGGACAGUGGCUGGCUCACACAUCCAGGGGAAAAUGAUCCGAAAGCACCGCAUUCCAUGGGACAGACAGGCCAGGAAAACCAGGAUGCUCAGAGAAACCAGACCUGACAGCAGACGGCAAAUAAUAUCCCAUCCGGAAGUAUGACAGGACAAAAGGAGAAGCUUCACACAUCAGCCCAUCUUGCCCUGGGCUAGUCCGUGCCCAGGCACUCGGGGACGUGGACCACGGAGAGCAACACAAACUAUCAUGUGCCAGGAGGCCUGGGAGCCAAGGCCAGAGGGUGGGGAGGAGCUGCAGGCUUCUCAAAAGACCCAGGGGCCAACU